UUGUUAGAAACGGAGGUACGUAGCAAGAAAUGAUGAAGAAAUGCAACAAAUUACUAUUAAAAGAUCUAUAGGUAGCAACAGGAGUAGACAGCAUGCUAGGAGGGAACAUAUAAUUCGAGUAGAAAGAACUAGGAGAAUAUCAUACAUGUGGAAUAGAAAUUUUUGAUAUUUUAAAUGCAACUCAGUGUGAAAUGUUAAUGAAUUGGAAUAAUGAAUUACAGUGUGUGAAUAAUUUUAAAUUUA